rnacentral:tRNA from 1 species
GGCUGGGUAGCUCAGCUGGUUAGAGCGCAGGACUCAUAAUCCUGAGGUCGAGAGUUCGAGUCUCUCCCCCGCCACCA